CAAAAUUAUACAAUACUCAUCUUUUGCAAUUAGAAUUUUUAUUAUUUCCUCCGUUCCUAUGCAGUUUAUUCCUUCUCAAGUAUAUCCAGCAUGAAGACAAAACAAAACAAUACAAAAAAACCCCAAACAACAUCAACAAAGUGAAUUUUACAGGAAUUUCCAUCUCAUCCUUCACACUAAGCUGGCUAACCCUCCCUACAAGACAGAGCUGAAGGCUCAGACUACCCUCAUUAUUUUCACCAUCACCAGGGACAGGCUGGAAGAACAGCUGUUGGCUGAGGAACAGUUUCCUGACUUGGAAAAACUUAAGUUGGUGCUGGCGAAGCAGAAGAAUCCCUUUGAAAUCAAGCUCAAGCAGCUUGAGAACAACCUGCUGCUCAGUCUGUCAGCUGCCUAGAGCAUUUUUGUAGAUGACGGUGAACUUCUUACAGAGAAAUUGGAAUCAACUGGAGGAGAAAUACAGUGCAAGGUAAAAAGCUUCCAGUAUAGCCUCCAGAAUAUUUCAUAUCUCUUUAGGACAAGGGCAAGAGAUGGUUGCGGAGGAGGACUUGACAAAGCUGCCAUGUAUGGACUGGGCUUCUUCUACAAGUGAGUGUUAAAUGGCUUCUCUGAAGGCAACUGUCUACUCAGUUGGAGAGAUGUUCCCAGAUUACAAACAAAAUAUGCA